rnacentral:rRNA from 1 species
UGCAGUCGAGCGGAACGAUGAUAGCUUGCUAUCAGGCGUCGAGCGGCGGACGGGUGAGUAAUGCUUAGGAAUCUACCGAGUAGUGGGGGAUAGCCCAGAGAAAUUUGGAUUAAUACCGCAUACGCCCUACGGGGGAAAGCAGGGGAUCUUCGGACCUUGCGCUAUUUGAUGAGCCUGAGUGAGAUUAGCUAGUUGGUGGGGUAAAGGCCUACCAAGGCGACGAUCUCUAGCUGGUCUGAGAGGAUGAUCAGCCACACUGGGACUGAGACACGGCCCAGACUCCUACGGGAGGCAGCAGUGGGGAAUAUUGCACAAUGGGCGCAAGCCUGAUGCAGCCAUGCCGCGUGUGUGAAGAAGGCUUUCGGGUUGUAAAGCACUUUCAGCAGCGAGGAAAGGUUAGUAGUUAAUACCUGCUAGCUGUGACGUUAACUGCAGAAGAAGCACCGGCUAAUUUAGUGCCAGCAGCCGCGGUGAUACUAAAGGUGCAAGCGUUAAUCGGAAUUACUGGGCGUAAAGCGCGCGUAGGUGGUUUGUUAAGCGGAAUGUGAAAGCCCAGGGCUCAACCUUGGAACUGCAUUGCGAACUGACAAACUAGAGUACGGUAGAGGUGAGUGGAAUUUCCUGUAUAGCGGUGAAAUGCGUAGAGAUGGGAAGGAACACCAGUGGCGAAGGCGACUCACUGGACUGAUACUGACACUGAGGUGCGAAAGCGUGGGGAGCGAACAGGAUUAGAUACCCUGGUAGUCCACGCCGUAAACGAUGUCUACUAGCCGUUGGGUGACUUGAUCACUUAGUGGCGCAGCUAACGCGAUAAGUAGACCGCCUGGGGAGUACGGUCGCAAGAUUAAAACUCAA